UACGGAAGGGGCAAGCGUUGUUCGGAAUCAUUGGGCGUAAAGGGCGCGUAGGUGGUUCUGUAUGUCUAUCGUGAAAGCGUACGGCUCAACCGUAUUUUGUCGGUAGAAACUGCAGGACCUGAGGCUGGGAGGGGCUGGUGGAAUUCCCUGUGUAGCGGUGAAAUGCGUAGAGAUGGGGGAGAACACUCGUGGCGAAGGCGGCCAGCUAGACCAGUUCUGACACUGAGGCGCGACAGCGUGGGGAGCAAACAGG
rnacentral:rRNA from 1 species